rnacentral:rRNA from 1 species
GACGAACGCUGGCGGCGUGCUUAACACAUGCAAGUCGAACGGAAAGGCCCUGCUUUUGUGGGGUGCUCGAGUGGCGAACGGGUGAGUAACACGUGAGUAACCUGCCCUUGACUUUGGGAUAACUUCAGGAAACUGGGGCUAAUACCGGAUAGGAGCUCCUGCUGCAUGGCGGGGGUUGGAAAGUUUCGGCGGUUGGGGAUGGACUCGCGGCUUAUCAGUUUGUUGGUGGGGUAGUGGCUUACCAAGGCUUUGACGGGUAGCCGGCCUGAGAGGGUGACCGGCCACAUUGGGACUGAGAUACGGCCCAGACUCCUACGGGAGGCAGCAGUGGGGAAUAUUGCACAAUGGGCGGAAGCCUGAUGCAGCAACGCCGCGUGCGGGAUGACGGCCUUCGGGUUGUAAACCGCUUUCGCCUGUGACGAAGCGUGAGUGACGGUAAUGGGUAAAGAAGCACCGGCUAACUACGUG